GCAUGGUUGUCGUCAGCUCGUGUCGUGAGAUGUUGGGUUAAGUCCCGCAACGAGCGCAACCCUUAAGCUUAGUUGCCAUCAUUAAGUUGGGCACUCUAAGUUGACUGCCGGUGACAAACCGGAGGAAGGUGGGGAUGACGUCAAAUCAUCAUGCCCCUUAUGAUUUGGGCUACACACGUGCUACAAUGGACAAUACAAAGGGCAGCGAAACCGCGAGGUCAAGCAAAUCCCAUAAAGUUGUUCUCAGUUCGGAUUGUAGUCUGCAACUCGACUACAUGAAGCUGGAAUCGCUAGUAAUCGUAGAUCAGCAUGCUACGGUGAAUACGUUCCCGGGUCUUGUACACACCGCCCGUCACACCACGAGAGUUUGUAACACCCGAAGCCGGUGGAGUAACCAUUUGGAGCUAGCCGUCGAAGGUGGGACAAAUGAUUGGGG
rnacentral:rRNA from 1 species